rnacentral:lncRNA from 1 species
GAUAGGCAGGAAAGAAAUGGCAGAAACAAAACCAACAAAGAAUCAGAUUAAAGACACAAGAAUUUCAGGUUUUUCGGGACAAAAUUUCAUCAACCAAUGCAGGGAAUUUAACCCCGAGUCAAUCUGCCAUUACAAGAGGAAAUAUUACAGUGUUUAUCUUACACAAAACAACACCACUCAUCACCCAACCGAGAAUAACCAGAAAGCUUCCAGAAAGUUUACAAGAAUUGCCCGCAGAGAGCUUUCUCUCUCAAUCCUACUUUCACUCUCUACAGAAAAUGUGCUCCCCACAUUUUCUUGUCCACACCCUUUCACGUAUCAGAACUGGUCCUACUUAUAGCCACAGAUCAAGAGACUUACAAGAAUAUGUGUGUAAUAUUCAGCUAAAAUAACUACCAGAAAAUUAGUUAAAACCAAAGGCUCCUAACUGAUUUUCUAACUCACUAACUAAUCCAACUAAUGAGUUUAAUAACUGAAUCAAGAAUCAAUAUUUUCUCUACAAAUACUAGGGAGGUUUUUAUUCCUCACAUUCUCCGGUAUAGAUGAAAAAGAUGGUGGUAUAGAAGUAAG